AUUGAACGCUGGCGGCAGGCUUAACACAUGCAAGUCGAACGAGUGGCGGACGGGUGAGUAAUGCUUGGGAAUCUAGCUUAUGGAGGGGGAUAACUACUGGAAACGGUAGCUAAUCCCGCAUACCAUCAGAUGAACCCAUAUGGGAUUAGGUAGUUGGUGAGGUAAAGGCUCACCAAGCCGACGAUCUCUAGCUGGUCUGAGAGGAUGACCAGCCACACUGGGACGGAGACACGGCCCAGACUCCUACGGGAGGCAGCAGUGGGGAAUAUUGCGCAAUGGGGGCAACCUGACGCAGCCAUGCCGCGUGAAUGAAGAAGGCCUUCGGGUUGUAAAGUUCUUUCGGUAGCGAGGCGUUAACUACAGAAGAAGCACCGGCUAACUCCGUGCCAGCAGCCGCGGUAAUAC
rnacentral:rRNA from 1 species